GUGCGCGCUUAGCAUGUAUACUACAAUUGGAAGGAUCCAGAGAAGAUUACCACAGCCCCUGUGCAAGUAUGACACGCAGGUUUGUGAAGUGUCUCCUAUUUUU